UACCAGCACCCCGAGUGGUCGGGACGAUUAUUGGGCCUAAAGCAUCCGUAGCCGGUCCUACAAGUCUUCCGUUAAAUCCACCUGCUCACAAGAUGGGCUGCGGAAGAUACUAUAGGGCUAGGAGGCGGGAGAGGCAAGCGGUACUCGAGUGGGUAGGGGUAAAAUCCUCUGAUCCAUUGAAGACCACCAGUGGCGAAGGCGGCGUUGCCAGUA
rnacentral:rRNA from 1 species